AGACCCGAAACCCGGUGAUCUAGCCAUGGGCAGGUUGAAGGUUGGGUAACACUAACUGGAGGACCGAACCGACUAAUGUUGAAAAAUUAGCGGAUGACCUGUGGCUGGGGGUGAAAGGCCAAUCAAACCGGGAGAUAGCUGGUUCUCCCCGAAAGCUAUUUAGGUAGCGCCUCGUGAAUUCAUCUCCGGGGGUAGAGCACUGUUUCGGCUAGGGGGCCAUCCCGGCUUACCAACCCGAUGCAAACUGCGAAUACCGGAGAAUGUUAUCACGGGAGACACACGGCGGGUGCUAACGUCCGUCGUGAAGAGGGAAACAACCCAGACCGCCAGCUAAGGUCCCAAAGUCAUGGUUAAGUGGGAAACGAUGUGGGAAGGCCCAGACAGCCAGGAUGUUGGCUUAGAAGCAGCCAUCAUUUAAAGAAAGCGUAAUAGCUCACUGGUCGAGUCGGCCUGCGCGGAAGAUGUAACGGGGCUAAACCAUGCACCGAAGCUGCGGCAGCGACGCUGAUGCGUUGUUGGGUAGGGGAGCGUUCUGUAAGCCUGCGAAGGUGGCCUGUGAGGGUUGCUGGAGGUAUCAGAAGUGCGAAUGCUGACAUAAGUAACGAUAAAGCGGGUGAAAAGCCCGCUCGCCGGAAGACCAAGGGUUCCUGUCCAACGUUAAUCGGGGCAGGGUGAGUCGACCCCUAAGGCGAGGCCGAAAGGCGUAGUCGAUGGGAAACGGGUUAAUAUUCCCGUACUUGGUGUUACUGCGAAGGGGGGACGGAGAAGGCUAUGUUGGCCGGGCGACGGUUGUCCCGGUUUAAGCGUGUAGGUGUGUGUUCCAGGUAAAUCCGGUUCACUUUAACACUGAGGCGUGAUGACGAGGCACUACGGUGCUGAAGCAACAAAUGCCCUGCUUCCAGGAAAAGCCUCUAAGCAUCAGGUAACAUCAAAUCGUACCCCAAACCGACACAGGUGGUCAGGUAGAGAAUACCAAGGCGCUUGAGAGAACUCGGGUGAAGGAACUAGGCAAAAUGGUGCCGUAACUUCGGGAGAAGGCACGCUGACACGUAGGUGAAGUGAUUUACUCA
rnacentral:rRNA from 1 species